rnacentral:lncRNA from 1 species
CAAUCACACCUUCUCAUCAAAGAAGGAGAUGUUUCUUCAGCAUUCCUGAGAGAUGCUCAUCUGGUCACUUUGGGAAUAUUUUUUGGCGGUUACUUGGAUUUAAUUAUUAUACUCUGCCAGUCUGUAAAUUCUACCUAUGUAUUAGUUGUCUACUACUCUAAACAUUUGAUCGACAUUCAUUCAUUACUUAUAACAACCUUAAGAUAUACAUUCUGUCACCCCCCAUUUUAUAGAUAAGGAGACCAAAGCACAGAAAGCAGAAAUGCCUAAGGCCAGUCCUUACACAUUAUGACAGAAACCUGUAUCGGCUUGAUCUCGGUCAUCAUUUUUUGGCUCCAGUGUAACUCCAGGCAAGGGGAAAGGUCGAAUUUCGUACCAGGAAGGAGAAGCCAGUUGCUUCCAACAUGGUGUCAUGAGGUCGUUCCUCUAGAAAAGGCUCACCAAUCAAAAGUAUUCCAGGUCCUUCUGGCUUCGAACAAAGGAUGGACACGACAGGCCACAAAUGACGCCAAACGUUUAUUUGAAAAGUUCGAGGUAAACGGGUAUGAGGGAAAUCAGCUCUGUAGAUUGAGCGAGGGCCAAAUAAAGAGGAAAAGAGGGUAAAGCAAAAAUAAAAGUGAGACGCAGCCCAGGCUAUCAUACAAACCCAUGCACAAUAGCAGAUCCCUGGGUAGCAGUCUUCUUUUAUGCUGCACACAUCUCGUGGGGACUCGUGAGAAGUUCUACAUAGGAGGUCCUGGAGUUGCCUUGAAUUGUUUUUCUUUAAAUAAGUUUUAUUUGAUUUUAUCCCUUUCCCCUGCCUUGGAUCUUGCAAUUCACAGGCCCCGCUUAUUUCCUCCAGCCAGCUUUGCCACACCCUAUCUCCUAUAUCAGUGGGAUGGUGGGAAGGAAUCGGAGUGCGGUGAGAGGAAGUAGUCAUCAGAUGAGCUUGCCUUCCGUCCCUUCCUCUCCGAGCAGAAAUCUGAAAUGUAUUCAUGGGGGUCCGUAGGUUGAAAGGGACGUCUUACUCCAUUCAGGCUGCUGUAACAACUUGCCACUGACUAGGUGCCAAAUAGGAUUUUUCUCAUGGUUCUGAAAGCUUGGGACUCCAGGAUCAAAGCGGCGACAGAUUUUGCUGUCUUGUGAAGUCUCAUUUCCCAUAGUGGAUUCACCAUCUCAUUGUAAGAAGAUGCGAGGGGAUGGGAGGACAUCUGUCUUGUGCCUCUUUCAAUAAGAGCUGAUAACAUUCAGGGGGCUUCACACUCAAAACCAAGAACCUCCCAAAGGCACCGUAUCUUAAUGCCAUCGCCUUGACAGUUAGGAUUCCAGUUUAUAAAUUUCGAGGGACUAGAAUGCAAAUGACAAAAACAGGCCCUCUUACCCAACUUGACCUUUAGGCAUGCAGUUACCGCUGAAGAUGGGCCCCUUGUUCUUGAUUUUCAUCUGAU